rnacentral:rRNA from 1 species
GACGAACGCUGGCGGCGUGCUUAACACAUGCAAGUCGAACGGAAAGGCCCUGCUUUUGUGGGGUGCUCGAGUGGCGAACGGGUGAGUAACACGUGAGUAACCUGCCCUUGACUUUGGGAUAACUUCAGGAAACUGGGGCUAAUACCGGAUAGGAGCUCCUGCUGCAUGGUGGGGGUUGGAAAGUUUCGGCGGUUGGGGAUGGUCUCGCGGGUUAUCAGCUUGUUGGUGGGGUAGUGGCUUACCAGGGCUUUGACGGGUAGCCGGCCUGAGAGGUUGACCGGCCACCUUGGGACUGAGAUACGGCCCAGACUGCUACGGGACGCAGCAGUGGGGAAUAUGGCACAAUGGGCGGAAGCCUGAUGCAGCAACGCCGCGUGCGGGAUGCCGGCCUUCGGGUUGUAAACCGCUUUCGCCUGUGACGAAGCGGGAGUGACGGUAAUGGGUAAAGAAGCACCGGCUAACUACGUG